AAUUAGAAAACUGGAGUUACUAGUGGGCAGCCCUGCAUCCUGCAUGGAAUUGGAGCUGUACAGAGUUGACGACAAGUUCUACAGCAAGCUAGAUCAAGAAGAUGCGCUGCUGGGCUCCUACCCUGUAGAUGACGGCUGCCGCAUCCAUGUCAUUGACCACAUCGGCGCCCGCCUUGGUGAGUAUAAGGAUGUGUCCUUGGUGGAGAAGUACACCAUCUCACAAGAAACCUACGACCAGAGGCAAGACACGGUCCGCUCCUUCCAAAAGCUCAGCAAGCUCGGCAGGUACAACGAGGAGGAGCGGGCGCAGCAGGAGGCCGAGGCCACCCAGCGCCUCGCUGAGGAGAAGGCCCAGGCCAGCUCCAUCCCGGUGGGCAGCCGCUGUGAGGUGCGGGCGGUGGGGCAGUCCCCUCGCCGGGGCACCGUCAAGUAUGUAGGUCUCACAGAUUUCAAGCCUGGCUACUGGAUUGGCAUCCGCUAUGAUGAGCCACUGGGGAAAAACUGGCAGUGUGAAUGGGAAACGCUACUUCGAAUGCCAGGCCAAGCACAGCGCCUUCGUCAAGCCAGCAGUCGUGACGGUGGGGGACUUCCCAGAGGAGGACUACGGGUUGGACGAGAUGUGACACCCCAGGAAUUCCCCCGCUCCAGCUCCUAACUCGGCCACUCACUGCCCCUCCUGUGUGUGCCCAUGGCCCUCUUCUGACCCCAUUUUACUUUUAUUCAUUUCUCCUCUGCCAUUGAUUUUUGAGACUCAUGCAUUAAAUUCACUAGAAACCUGGAAAAAAAAAA